UCAAAGCCCAGCGUGGAGCAGAGGAGCUGAGCCCCUCACCUCUCACCCAGCGCAGCCUUUCAGCACGUGCCACUCCUUGAGCCUACGUGCGGUCCUGUUGACACCGCAGUGACUCAGCACCUUGCACACCUGAACCUUUCAGUCUCACCAUGCAACUGGAAGCAGACCUCCGCUCAGACUCCUUUUACAACCUCCUCUGUCACGUUUGGGUGGUGCAUCACUGCGCAGGACACGGUGCUGGCAGGGAGCUCAGUGCUUUUCCUUUCCCCACGGAAGCAUAGGAGUUCCUGUGUGGUGCUGGGAAGAAAUGAUGUAUGGAGCAGCCAUCUCAUUUCCAGCCUGCGAUCUCUGGGCUUGGCUUAGAAGUAAUGCCACUUCUGCCUCCGUGGCGCUGGAGAUGCCGGAGUUAUGAUCUUCCCACUCAUGAGUCAACCUGGCUCCCUACGUAAUGCUCCCACUCUGCCUCAGGUUUUAAUGAGUCUUCAGCCUCCCUAUCCUGCUCCAACUCAAAUCCGGACUAUGAGAAGACUGCUGUAGGAGAAACGCUGGAUUUUUCCCUGUUGACAUUCUUUGGGCCAAGGUCUUACCUGGUGCAUGAAGAGGGAGGAAGCAACAGCCUCACCUUCUCACAGGACUCUCUAUCGUGCCAGCAUACUACCUAAAGGAGCUUAACUCAUUUCUGUGAUGGUGGUUUCAUCCUGGCUCGUUCCAGCCCCACUAAUGCCCAUCUGCCAGGAUUAUUGAUUCCUCCCUUCUGUAACUCUGUUGAGCAAGACAGUUCUGUGUCCUUCGUGCUUUCUGUGAAACCAUUUCCAGGAGGCACCUCUCAUCCUUAAAUGCAGGCAGAAGAGGAAUGCAAAAGAGGGAAAUGAGACCUUAACUGGGUGCUGCAUUCCCACAGCGUCCCGGAUCAACC